GAAGAGUUUGAUCAUGGCUCAGAUUGAACGCUGGCGGCAGGCUUAAGACAUGCAAGUCGAGCGGAAACGAUGGAAGCUUGCUUCCAGGCGUCGAGCGGCGGACGGGUGAGUAACGCGUAGGAAUCUGCCCAGUAGAGGGGGAUAGCUCGAGGAAACUCGAAUUAAUACCGCAUACGCCCUACGGGGGAAAGCAGGGGAUCUUCGGACCUUGCGCUAUUGGAUGAGCCUGCGUGAGAUUAGCUUGUUGGUGGGGUAAAGGCCUACCAAGGCGACGAUCUCUAGCUGGUCUGAGAGGAUGAUCAGCCACACUGGAACUGAGACACGGUCCAGACUCCUACGGGAGGCAGCAGUGGGGAAUAUUGGACAAUGGGGGAAACCCUGAUCCAGCCAUGCCGCGUGAGUGAAGAAGGCCUUAGGGUUGUAAAGCUCUUUCAGUCGUGAAGAUGGUGACUGUAGCGACAGAAGAAGCCCCGGCUAACUCCGUGCCAGCAGCCGCGGUAAUACGGAGGGGGCUAGCGUUGUUCGGAUUUACUGGGCGUAAAGCGCACGUAGGCGGAUCGAUCAGUCAG
rnacentral:rRNA from 1 species